UACGGAGGGUGCAAGCGUUAUCCGGAUUCACUGGGUUUAAAAGGAGCGUAGGUGAGUUGGUAAGUCAGUGGUGAAAUCUCCGAGCUUAACUUGGAAACUGCCAUUGAUACUAUCAGUCUUGAAUAUUGUGAAGGUCAGCGGAAUAUGUCAUGUAGCGGUGAAAUGCUUAAAUAUGACAUAGAACACCAAUUGCGAAGGCAGCUGACUACGCAUAUAUUGACACUGAGGCUCGAAAGCGUGGGGAUCAAACAGG
rnacentral:rRNA from 1 species